AUGUAUCAUUUUCUUAUGGUACCAAUGUAUUUUCUUUCCCCCUUUUCUCUUCUCUUUGUCAUUUUCAAUAAAGCCUUUUCAUAUAAUAUAUUAAAAAAAAUCUUGUCUCCUUUUUCUAUUUUUCGAAGAAAGCCUUUUUAUAUAAUAUGUAAGUUUUUCUCAACAAAUACACUCAAUUUCCUUUUCUGUUUAUUUUUCAUUCCUUCUUUCUUGUUGUGUUUUUCAUUUUUUUUUCAUUUCUAUGUUAUUUUUUGGAUGCUUACCAUUUUAACCACUAAUUUUUGUUUCAAGGAAGUAUAA
rnacentral:rRNA from 1 species